rnacentral:rRNA from 1 species
AUUGAACGCUGGCGGCAGGCCUAACACAUGCAAGUCGAGCGGGGUUUUCGGACCUAGCGGCGGACGGGUGAGUAAUGCGUAGGAAGCUGCCCGAUAGAGGGGGAUACCAGUUGGAAACGACUGUUAAUACCGCAUAAUGUCUACGGACCAAAGUGUGGGACCUUCGGGCCACAUGCUAUCGGAUGCGCCUACGUGGGAUUAGCUAGUUGGUGAGGUAAUGGCUCACCAAGGCGACGAUCUCUAGCUGGUUUGAGAGGAUAAUCAGCCACACUGGAACGGAGACACGGUCCAGACUCCGACGGGAGGCAGCAGUGGGGAAUAUUGGACAAUGGGCGAAAGCCUGAUCCAGCCAUGCCGCGUGUGUGAAGAAGGCCUUCGGGUUGUAAAGCACUUUCAGCGAGGAGGAAGGGGUGGGUGUUAAUAGUACACACCUUUGACGUUACUCGCAGAAGAAGCACCGGCUAACUCUGUGCCAGCCGCCGCCGUAAAAC